ACACAAUCUUCACAAAAGAUGUGUUUACAACGAAGUAGAAUGGGAGCAUGCAUCUUCUCCUGGCAUAUAGCGCACAAAUCUCCUGCUGCAUUGACCUGCUCUGAUGUUGCAUAAGCGCCAUAAUGUACUUCUUUACGUGAUAGUGCCUUCAAAGCAGCAAAGAAAGAUUGCACCUUCUCGAAGACAGAUGUGAGCUUGAAAGUCAAGUACAAUCCUGUCAUUAGGGAUGAAAACAGGCUCCCAUAUUCCUUAUUCAAAAAGAAGCGGUACCAGACUGGUGUAGGCAACAAGGC
rnacentral:misc_RNA from 1 species